rnacentral:misc_RNA from 1 species
CCACCCGUCGAGCCCCGCUCGCGUUGGGGCCCUGCGGCUGCCGCAGGCCCUGAAAGACAGCGGCGGGACCGCCGCCGCGCCGAGCGUAGUAGCGCGAGCCUCGCUCCGGAGCGGCGGCGGCCCCCGCCGGGCCCCCGCGCCCGCCAGAGGGGACACCCCCCAAACAA